rnacentral:rRNA from 1 species
UAAGGAAUAUUGCUCAAUGGGAGAAAUCCUGAAGCAGCAACGCCGCGUGGAGGAUGAAGGGUUUUUAACUUGUAAACUCCUGUAAAGAAGGAAAAAAUUCCCAUUAGAUGGGAAAUGAUGGUACUUCUGGAGUAAGCCCCGGCUAACUACGUGCCAGCAGCCGCGGUAAUACGUAGGGGGCAAGCGUUGUCCGGAUUUACUGGGUGUAAAGGGUGCUCAGGCGGAUUUGUAAGUCAGAGGUGAAAAUCUCACAGCUUAACUGUGAAACUGCCUUUGAUACUGCAAGCCUAGAGUAUGGAAGAGAGUGAUGGAAUAUCUGGUGUAGCAGUGAAAUGCGUAGAUAUCAGAUAGAACACCAAUGGCGAAGGCAGUCACUUGGUCCAUAACUGACGCUAAAGCACGAAAGCGUGGGUAGCAAACAGGAUUAGAUACCCUGGUAGUCCACGCCCUAAACGAUGAAUACUAGAUGUUGGCUUCGCAUGAAGUCAGUAUCUGAGCUAACGCAUUAAGUAUUCCACCUGGAAGUACGAUCGCAAGGUUGAAACUCAAAGGAAUUGACGGGGUCAUAGCUGUUUCC